rnacentral:lncRNA from 1 species
UUUUCUUAGUUAAAUUUGACUUCAUGGUUACCUUAUGGUGGGAGAUGCUGAAAGAUCCUACUAGAAGAGUGUAUCUGUUGUGUAAAUCUGUAUUUCAUGCCGAUUCAAUCUCCGCCAUUGAUUAUUUCAUCUACCAUUUAUUUUGCUCAAGUAAUUAUAUUUUUACUUCACAUGGACAGUUAUGCUCUUAUUUUGUCCAUUUCUUACCUAAUACAUACAAAAAUGAAAUAUUGCAGCUGCUCUUCCUUUUGCUCCAUUCGGUGAUGCGGUGAUGAAAAUCUUCUCAAAUUAUUUCUGCUCUUUUGCGGUGAUGGUGAUCUUUCAACUAUUCAUCUUCUCUUUAUUUAUCUUCAUCUUUUCUCAGCCUUCCAUCAUGUUCAAAAUGUUGUGAGUUUCCUCCUUAUCUAGAGUCUCCCAAUAGUGAUCAUUUGCCUCAUCAGCUUACAUUGUUGUUAACAUAUCAAAGUUUUCUUUAUGGAGCUGCUCAUAAACCUCUUUGGUGGUCUUACAUUUCCUGAUAUUUGAUUAUAGUUUAGAGCGGCUUAAUCUUUGUUUGCUAUAGAGCUUGGUACAUUGUCUUGGUAAAGCAGAUUAAGAUGGUUGUCAUCCUAAAUUUCAUGACGCACCAUCUGGGUUUCUCGAAAUUUCUAAAUGUCUUUAAUCGUGAGGCUGCUAGUCAGUAUUGGCUCAGAUUCUGGUAUAGUAUAUUCUUCUUUCAUGAUGGUAAUGUUAUGCCUUACUUGAUAUGGAUAAUUGCAUACAUAGCCAACCAAUGGGCUAAACAAAAACAGCAACAGAGGUUUUCUUAUACUCGGAGGUUCCCUGAAUAAUUUUUAUUAGUUAUCUUAGCGCGCAUGCAUGUUAAUUAAAACAAUAGUUUUAAAAGAUAAUACAAGAUCAUCAGUUUAGCAUAAUAAUAACAUAAUCAUUUCAAUUUUUCUCUGUUUUGGACUAGAAGUCUACUAAGAAAACCAGAAAUGAAAGAGGUGAAGAACCUACUUGUGUGUGCUAGUAGUAUUCACUAUAGUCUUCUCUUCAGGCUCUUCAAAUGGUCAGGAACAUGCUAACACGAACUGCUACUAGAACUGCUACCUUCACCAGAAUAUGAAUAUGCACAAAGCUCAAACAAUUACUACUAUCUUCUUGCUCGAGGAGAUUGCUUGAACAUAUACUGUUUCUCUUCUUACUCGAAGAGAUUUAAACAGAAAGGUGGAUGGAGAUUACAUGAACAUAUGCUCGAGUAGAUAUGUAUAUAGUUGAGGAUAUAUGCAUAUAUAGUCUAGGUCAUUUCGGUAUUG